CCGAGUGGUUAUUCGUUUCCUGAUUGAACCGAGGGUGGUCGUUUACCUAUCUCUGUGGGAUGUUGCUGCAUCAAUGUUUAGGGGACUCAUCGGCUCCGGUGACAGGACACAGACAGUGAUGGUGGUCACUAUCGUGAAACCAAAACUAUUUGGAGGUAACCUAUACCUCAACUCAACUCCAGCGACGAAGUUUUAUUUUGACAACACCCUUGAAGCCAUCUCCGAGUUCACGGCCAGGUUUGA